UACGAAGGGAGCUAGCGUUGUUCGGAAUCACUGGGCGUAAAGCGCACGUAGGCGGAUGUGUCAGUCAGGGGUGAAAUCCCGGAGCUCAACUUCGGAACUGCCUUUGAUACAGCACGUCUUGAGUCCGAUAGAGGUGGGUGGAAUUCCUAGUGUAGAGGUGAAAUUCGUAGAUAUUAGGAGGAACACCAGAGGCGAAGGCGGCCACCUGGACCAUUUAUGACGCUAAAGCGCGAAAGCGUGGGGAGCAAACAGG
rnacentral:rRNA from 1 species